GAUGAACGCUGGCGGCGUGCCUAAUACAUGCAAGUCGAGCGAACAGACGAGGAGCUUGCUCCUCUGACGUUAGCGGCGGACGGGUGAGUAACACGUGGAUAACCUACCUAUAAGACUGGGAUAACGUCGGGAAACCGGAGCUAAUACCGGAUAAUAUAUUGAACCGCAUGGUUCAAUAGUGAAAUACGGUUUUGCUGUCACUUAUAGAUGGAUCCGCGCCGCAUUAGCUAGUUGGUAAGGUAACGGCUUACCAAGGCAACGAUGCGUAGCCGACCUGAGAGGGUGAUCGGCCACACUGGAACUGAGACACGGUCCAGACUCCUACGGGAGGCAGCAGUAGGGAAUCUUCCGCAAUGGGCGAAAGCUUGACGGAGCAACGCCGCGUGAGUGAUGAAGGUCUUCGGAUCGUAAAACUCUGUUAUUAGGGAAGAACAAAUGUGUAAGUAACUAUGCACGUCUUGACGGUACCUAAUCAGAAAGCCACGGCUAACUACGUG
rnacentral:rRNA from 1 species